UCAAUCUAAAGGUCAGAGCUCUCCUCCCUCGAGUCUGAGAAUUAGGUGGAUCCAUGAAUUGUUUGAGUUAGUAAUGGAUAUUUCUAUUGCGGCUGAGUGAGACAGAUGAUGAUGAUGCCUUCUUCUUCUUCUUCUCUCCCACUAGACUGCUUUGCUUGCUUAUUCCAACACUGACGUGACAGCUUUCUUUUUCCCAUUCCCGUUGCCUACAACCCUGAUAAGGUCGGCAUUUGGCGUCUUAUUCUACUCAAAACUCCUCCUUAUGAUGAACCUAGGCUAGGAGGAACGGCAAAGUCCCCAAAAUCUUCAUUACUACUGUUAAUUAGUGGUAAUUAACAUAAAUAAAACAAUGUCUCCUUGUUAAUAAUGAUGCUAAGUCCUUUCUCUUGUUUUACACACACAUGUUCCAGAGGGAGCGGUGAUAAUUGCCCCUAGGACAAUUCAAAAGCUCAAAUGGAAUAGAGUGAGUGAGUGGCACCGCAGAGAAGAUUGACAGCCAGCUUCGGUUUGAGGCUGCAACCUAGAGGGUGGGUAAUCUCCGUUUCUCAUCCACUCGGAGUUGUCGAUGCAAAUCAUUGUCGCCUACGCACCACAUCCGAUCCACGAAUCAAUCUAUAAUACUCAAAAAAUCAGGAAGAAGCAGAUGAUGAAAGCCGAAAAUCACCUCGAGGACUUUUUUUAAAAAAUUUUGUUCUCUUUCCUCACCCUUGUAUUUUCAUGUUUAUUUAAUUUUAGCCACAUUGAUUCUUAACUUAGCCAAACAAUUGGCCCUCUUCACAAUUGUUUUCCCAACACUACGUCUUUUAUUCAAAAUAACCCCCCCCCCAUCCCAUCUUUAUCUUUAUAUAUAAAAUAUGGUUUUCUCUCUCUUGAGGCAUGCCACCUAUGAUUCCACGUCAUAAACUUGGGCUCUGUGAAGACGACAUGUGUCCCGGACAUGAAACUUUGCGUUUCAUUUAUUCAAGAUUAAUAUUCGUUUGGGCUUUUGAUUUCACACAGAUUUCUUUUUAAUAAAGCUUUGUAAAGCCCAUCUUAGAAAAAUAGUAAGUAGACUUGGAACACGUCAUGUUCUGUUUCAAGGGUUGAACCCUUAUUGUUCUCCGCCGUCGUGAUGUCUGUCCACAUUCUCUUGCUUGAUUUAAAGGUUACUCUUAUGCCAGCCACCAUAAGUGCUAAUCGGGUUCCAACCUUAUCUUCAAGCGUCGGCGAGAAAGAAAGCUGAACAAGGCCACCCGCAUACCAUCUUUUAUUCUGAUACCCAAGGAUAUGUAAGACAGCGUUAUUCACAAGAAAUAGGUGAGUUUCCUGGAUCAUUGGCCUAGCGUUGAUUGGAACGUAUCCAACUCAGCAGACUGCCAUUGACAAGUUCAUGGUCUAUGAACUUUCAGUAAAGCUAUCCUUGAGAGGAAGAAGUCUCCUAAUCGACGUAUUGUCGUUUCUCUCCAUCACUCCACCAUGGAAAAACGCUCCAGCUUUUCCGGGGAUGCAAUUCUCAUCAAGGAUAUUGACUUUUUCUGCACCAAAAAGAUCACCGGUAUCAAGAUGGACAAAGUUGGUGUUACGUUUCUUGCUCCAACUGUACCAAGAAGCUUCAACGGACUGUCUCAGCCUUUUCCGUGUGCACUGCAACAAUACUAAUGGUGUUGGUGUCGUCCGAUAUGUAUCUAUAUAACAUGUUGUUUCCAUUCAUUGCACUGAAUGUCCACACAUAUGUAGUUACCCUUGACACUUAAUAUAUAUUUUCUGACUUCUAGAUAUCGUGGGGAGAUGACCAUUGCUGAUGAUAUUGCUGAAGGUCUAUUUGUUGGUUUUGAUGGGGGUAAUGACGAAACUACAUAACAUCAGAACCUAUGAAACUGGUCAUCUAUUGGUACGUGACUAUUCCAUCUCAUAUCAUCGUUUGGUCCGAUUUUGUUCUCAUACACUUGCAAUCAACCAUUGGUCACUUAACCUAGACAGGGUGUGAACCCAGAAGAGACUCAGGUCCCCACCCCCCCCACCCCUUUUAUUGCAGACAUAGUAGUCAAGACCUACACGUUCUAGGUCAAGGUUAGUACCUACAACUUCACAGCAAAUCAUCAAACUUUCACAAUCUCAUUCAUCCUUAGCGAAGGUGACCGUAUGCCACUCUCUGCCUUUGUUGACGAUGUAAGUUUCAUUCUUCAUUCCUUAGUUUGUAAAUAAUUAUAAGUGAUUCGGUUUGAUCAGGGAGCAACAAUGACAAUGGAGAUGAUAUAUGCUUGGUGCUAACUCAUUACCUACUAAGGUGGACAUUGGUAGUAGUUUUCAGGAAGCAUCGACUACAUGAGCAGCUCCAAGUGGUGUUGACACCAAAAAAGCCUCCAGCGCAAGCAGCUUCCAAGAUGGCCAAAAAACACGCAUGGCAUAGGUUAAGAUAAUGAGAGAAUUGGACGCAGUAUUUCCUCUUUCAACAAUGCUAAUGCAUCAAUAUUUUAUUUGAACAAGUAUGUUUUUGUUUAGCCCCUUUUGGGUAAUCUAUGUUUGGUUUAGACGAUUUUUAUAAAAAUGUCUGAGAUUUAAUUGGUUUGUAUAUUUAGUACCAUACGUCAUUUAAUUACUAAGAUUCAGUUUAAAUA